rnacentral:lncRNA from 1 species
GGUCGGUCCUUUUUCAGAAAAGUAAAUGGACUAGCUCAACGGUGCAUCCUUUAGACGCGAUUAAAAGAAAAACAAGAUCUCUCUACAUUUAUGCAGUGUAAAAGUUCGGAUCUGAAAGCGCAUUGUUAUAUGAUGUAACCUACUGAAGCGUUAGUAAAGAGAAGAGAAUGUACCUCAUCGGCAGCGACAGAUGGACCGGGAGAGGAAGCAUCGAGGCUAGGUCCAGGAGCUCCAGUUGGUGGAGCGGGAGGUCCAAGCAUAUCAGGUGAAGGAGUCGGAGCAUGGUGUUUCUUGGAUUUCUUGCUUUUGCUCUUGCUCUUGCUUGGAGCUGGGGCCGGAACCUCAGCAGUAGUUGGUGCAGCAACAGGAGCCGGAGGAGAGGCCGAGCUCUCUGGUGGAGUCGUCGGUGCAGCAACGGGAGGCGAUUUGGCUGGAGGAGAGCUCACAGGUACUGGAGCAGGUGGAGAACUCACCGGAGCAGCAGCCGGAGGAGAAGAAGCCGGAGCAGAUUUAGAUGGGGCUGGAACCGCCGCAGACUUCUCCGGAGCCGCAGCCGGUGGUGAAGAAGUUGGUGGGGAAGUGGUAGGGGCAGCAGUUGGAGCCGGUGAUUUAGGUUUGCUAACAGGGGCAGUAGCGGGAGCAGUAGCAGGAGUAGCCGCGGCCGGCGGAGCUUUAGUAGGUGAGGCUGCCGGAGAUUGACCACCGACAGCGGUUACCACAAAGCAAAUCAAAGCAACUGCAAAUGCACUUCUACGAUCCAUUUCUUGAAGACAGAGGGAGAGUGAAGUAGUAACAGAAACUAAUGACAACGAGACGACAGACUCUCAAUAAAUAUAUAAAUAAAUGAGGGAGAGAAUCAGAAAAAAUGAUGAUUAUAAAAAGAAAAGAAGAAAAAGUUAGGAACGUGUUUGGAUCAGAAAUAGCCGUUGGAUGAGAAGCUAUUUCGGGGCCCACCGUCAUCAAAUUGUAAUGUGGCGAUCAAGACUCGACAGUCUGGAUUGGGGCCCACAUACAUGAACCAUGUAAUUUGUUGUUACAUUACCUGAUUAGGGUAAACUACACCCAAGGUCACUGAAGUAUUAAUAAAUUUACAUUUCAGUCGUUUAACUUUAAAAAGUUACAAAAUAGUCACUAAAUCAUUCGGAAGUUUUUAUUUAAUUCAUUGAGAUAUUAAAUCUCUGUUAUAUGGCUUUCUUUAUUCACACGGCCUACACCAAUCAAAAGAUCUUAUUCUCCUUCUCUUCAACAAUUUAAUUAUUUUCAUAGAAUAAUUUUGAAUGUUAUGAAUUUACGAAUCAAAAUUCAAACAGUUUUCUUUUUCAAUCUCUUACAAGGUAUGUUCUUCUACUCUUUGAUAGGUACUAAUCCAUUGUAUCAAUCGUCAUAAAAAAAUACUUAACAAUUCAAUGACUUAAAUAAAUACUUUCAAAUAAUUUAGUGACCAUGUUGUAACUUUUUAAAGUUAAGUGACCAAAAUAUGAAUUUACUAAUAAUUUAGUGACCUUAGGUGUAGUUUACCCUACUAAUUAAUAUUAUAAUAAAUGUUUAAUUCUAUCCCCAACCUCUGUACUCUUUGGGGUUUUAAAAUUUAGCCUUCCUACUUUUGAUUUUAAAAAUUUAGUUUCUCUUCAUUUUUAUUUAAAAGUCCAAUUCAUGAAAACUUGGUUAAAUUUUAAUAUUCGAAGCUUUGAUCUAAAAAUAAUAAUAUAUAUUUAAAUUGAAUGGAAAUGUUAUUAAUUAAAUUUUAAUUUUUAAAUCAAGCAGGAGAGAUAGGGAAUUAAAAUUUAAAAUUAAAAUUUAAAAGCUGAAAGAGUAAAGGGGUUGGAAAAAAUUAAACCUACAAUAACUAAUUGAAUGAUACAAUUGUUAUGAAGUAGUGAGACAGCUGGACGUAGGGAGAGUGGGGUAUUGCUGCGCAAAGAGACAAACCAAUAGGAGGCGGCCGCGUGACCGGGUAAAGCAGUUACGGGUGAUAUUUUGAGAUGGGUCACCGACUCACCGGCAAGAAACUGUGUCUCUGCAAGCAAAACUUGUCUGGAAUAACGUGACGUGUAUUAUACUUAAACACCCUAACCUUUUCUCUUUUCGUUAAAAAUUGUCAAGUGGCUAAGGCUUUUUUUUUUAUCAUCUAUAUAUUAGAGUUUUAAAAAAAGUUUUGCAAAAUAGUUGAGUUGUGUAAUUAUUUCACCUCCACCCUUUGGCCUCUCUCGGUACAUUAUUAUGUAAAAGUGAGUAUUCCACUGAAUCGAUUAAAAAAUUUUGAGUUAAUUGAGUUAACGAGUUUUAUUUUAUCAUUCUAACUCGAUUUAAUUUUUUUUCAAAUUGAAUUGAGUAAAAUAAAAUUCGAGUCGAUUCGAAUGAAAUUGUUUGAGUUAAAUUAAAAAAUUAAACAUGUUAAAUUAAAAUCUUGUUAUACUAUAUAGAGGUGCUCAUGGGCCGGGCGGCCCGGCCCGGCCCGACGGCCCGCCCGAAAUAUGGGAGGGUUUGGGUAAAAAUAUAGGCCCGAAAUAUGGGCUUGGGCAAAAAAAUGAUGCCCGAUUUAAAAACGGGCCGGGCCUCGGGCACAACUUUUUUGGCCCGGGCCCGGCCCGGCCCGGCCCGAAUAUAAUAAAUAUUUUUAUUAUUUUUAAUUUUAAAAUACUUUUAAAAUACUUUUAUUAAAUUUUUUAAAUUUUUAAAUUUUUUUAAAAUACUUUUUAAAUUUUUUUUAAUUUUAAAAUAUUUUUAAAAUACUUUUUUUAAUUUUUAUUUUAAUUUUUAAAAUAAUUUUUUGGUAAUUAUUUAAAAAACGGGCCGGGCCGGGCCCAGGCUUAUGAUUUUUUUCCCAGGCUGGGCCUGGGCAAAAUUCUAGGCCCAUAUUUUGGGUCGGGCCAAAAAAAAUUUUUGGGCCCGGCCCGGCCCAGCCCAUGAGCACCUCUAAUACUAUAACUAAUUCCAUGUUAUAACACAUAAAUUUGAAACCAUAUAUAUUUGAAAACUUUUUCAAAGCAGAAUAAAAAAAUUACUUUAGUAUGAUAAACUUGAAUCAUUAAUUAACUUAUUUAGGUCCCAAAAUUAUUAUUCUAGAAAAUUUUUAAUAUUUUAACUUUCUUUAUAUUUUUUUAGAUUUUUUUUUGAAAUUUUUAUAAUUUUUAAAAAGUAUAAAUUUGGAAUUUUUAUAAAUAUUUUGAAAUUUUAAAAUUAUUUUGUAAUUUUUAUUGAGAGAGUGGUCAAUUUGUUCAUUUUCAAACUUGGCAGAGACCAAAAAGGUAUUUAUACCAAUAUGUUAUUCGAAUUAUUCGAGUUAUUUUAAUUGUAAAAUUCAACUCGAUUCGAACUCGAAACUCGAAUUACUUACUCGAGUUGACUUGAAUAAUUCAAAUAACUCGAUUCAAUUAACUCAAAAUUUAAUUUUUUUCGGAUUAAAUUGAAUUUUGCUCACUCCUAUUAUUUUGCACAGCAUCACAAUAUAGAUUUUUCGGUUUUAAAAUAUCGCCGAUCUAUAUUCUUCUUCAAUGCUAUAAAGCUCGACCCUUCCACAAUCAUUAUCUAUACAUCAUCAUCAUACAUUGUAUGAAUCGUAGAAUAUAUUACUGGAUUGUCAUAUAUAAUAAAUUUAUAUCUAUUCAUCAUCAUCAUACAUUAUACAAAAAUAUAUAAUAUGUCAAUUUACUACAUUCAUGAUAUGGAUUGAAAGAUAAAAAUUACACAAAUAAAAAUUACAUUUACUAAAAAUAAUGAUAUUUUCAAUAAUUAUUUGAUUUUAUAAAUAAAAGAGUUAUUAAUUAAAAUGAUAAAUAAAAAAUAAAAAAAACUUGAAAACAAUAUAUUUAUUAAUUAUAAAUAUUAAUUAAAAAUAAUAAAAAAGUUGAAAUAAAAAAUACAUAUUAAAAUUCUUAUAAAAGGAAUCAAACUUAGGACUGAAAGAAGAAAUCACAAUUAUCUAACCAUCUAACCAAAAGAGCUAAUGUGUCAAAAAUAUUAAUUUAAAAAAAAACUUAAAAUAACAUGAAAUAAAAAUUACAAAAGUGAAUAGGAGAGGAAUUGAACCUAAGACUUAAGACUAAAAACACUAACACUUAACCAUCUGAUCAAAAGAGCUAAGUUGUCAAUUUGUGAAAACAUGACACAUGUUCAGCUGACGUAGCUAAAAAUAUGCCCUAUAAGACGCAUUUUCAAUGACAUAGACAGUGAAAAUGCACCAUGUAAGACGUGCUUUCCUUUCUCUCUUCAAAACAACAUUGAUAAAUUUAAAAAAAACAACAUAGAUAAUUAAAUGUAGAUUUUUUUUUUCAGCAUAAAUGGAUAAAUCAACCUGGUAUAUAUUAAAUUAAUUAUAUUAUCUUAAUUAUUUAUUUGACUGAGUCUUAUUAAUGAAUGCCAAAUAUUAUAUAUUAUUAAUUAAUAUUUGCCUUCUGUUUCGAGCAAAUAAGAAAGCUUCAUAUUGGCCAUUUACACGCACACACGCAUAUAUAUCAUAGUGUAUUAUGAAUAUUCCAAGUGAAGGGAAUUUGCAUGCUUUUGGCUUUGGGUUGAUGGGAAAACGACAAAAACACCAAUAUUAACCAAUAAAAUUAAAAGCUUUAGAAUUAAGGACGAAUCACGCUUGAAAGUAGGCAUUGGGUCUAAUACAGUUUGUAUACAUUUGAUGCUUCAAAUAAUGCAUUUUGAAAGUUUGCUGCUUGGGCUUACAUUUUACAGGGUUUUGUUGUAGAGAAAAAGAGAAUUUUUAAUUUGUAGAGUCCUCUUGUGAAGUGCUUCUUCUGAUACGUGGCAAUUGUGAAUGUAAGAAGUUUCAUACAUGUAAGUCUGUCUGGUGUUUGCAGCCGGGGGAGAAGACGAUAGGAACCAAUGAAUAACGUCUCUCCUGGUUUAUGCCCCCAUGCCUAAUUAUUUUUUACUCAAAACUGUUCUUUCAGAUUAAACUAAAUAUUCAGAUUGAUUUGUAAGAUAUGCAUUUGCUGCCAUUUUAAGCUUUCCUGUACUUUCAUUGGAACAUUGUCUAACCAAACAACUCCUUUUUUCCCUGUAAUGGUUCAUGAGCUAUAUAUGAUCGUUUCAGUUUUGUUACUUUUACAAUGUUUAACCUGCACAAAUGAUCUUGGGAUUCAUUAGCAUUGGUAUUAGUAAAAUAAAUUGUGAUUUUAUUAAAAUAUAAUAGAGAAAUAAAAGACAGAAAAUGGGUAAAUGAAGGGGAAAAAAAAAAAGAAUGGGGGAAAUUACAUAGGAAAAAAGAACUAGAGUUUCCGCCUCUCAAUACACCAACCAAAGAAUUACAACGCAGAAUGUGGAAUGUGAUCAAAAUCAAUCUAGAAGCUCAAAGCAAUGGCUGCCCAUCCCAACGCCAACCCUCCAAUUAUCUUCUUCAUGUUCUUCAUUGCCUCUGCUCCACUCUGCAUUUGUUUAUAAUAACUCUUUAAAUGUUACAAAUAAAUAUAGUUUUAAGAUGAAAAAAAGAUCCAUUGGUCGGUCCUUUUUCAGAAAAGUAAAUGAACUAGCUCAACGGUGCAUCCUUUAGACGCGAUUAAAAGAAAAACAAGAUCUCUCUACAUUUAUGCAGUGUAAAAGUUCAGAUCUGAAAGCGCAUUGUUAUAUGAUGUAAGCUACUGAAGCGUUAGUAAAGCGAAGAGAAUGUACCUCAUCGGCAGCGACAGAUGGACCGGGAGAGGAAGCAUCGAGGCUAGGUCCAGGAGCUCCAGUUGGUGGAGCGGGAGGUCCAAGCAUAUCAGGUGAAGGAGCCGGAGCAUGGUGUUUCUUGGAUUUCUUGCUUUUGCUCUUGCUCUUGCUUGGAGCUGGGGCGGGAACCUCAGCAGUAGUUGGUGCCGCAACAAGAGCCGGAGGAGAGGCCGAGCUCUCUGGUGGAGUCGUCGGUGCAGCAACGGGAGGCGAUUUGGCUGGAGGAGAGCUCACAGGUACUGGAGCCGGUGGAGAACUCACCGGAGCAGCAGCCGGAGGAGAAGAAGCCGGAGCAGAUUUAGAUGGGGCUGGAACCGCCGCAGACUUCUCCGGAGCCGCAGCCGGUGGUGAAGAAGUUGGUGGGGAAGUGGUAGGGGCAGCAGUUGGAGCCGGUGAUUUAGGUUUGCUAACAGGGGCAGUAGCGGGAGCAGUGGCAGGAGUAGUCGCGGCCGGCGGAGCUUUAGUAGGUGAGGCUGCCGGAGAUUGACCACCGACAGCGGUCACCACAAAGCAAAUCAAAGCAACGGCAAAUGCACUUCUACGAUCCAUUUCUUGAAGACAGAGGGAGAGUGAAGUAGUAACAGAAACUAAUGACAACGGGACGACAGACUCUCAAU